rnacentral:rRNA from 1 species
GUAGGUGGCAAGCGUUGUCCGGAAUUAUUGGGCGUAAAGCGCGCGCAGGCGGUCCUUUAAGUCUGAUGUGAAAGCCCACGGCUCAACCGUGGAGGGUCAUUGGAAACUGGGGGACUUGAGUACAGAAGAGGAAAGCGGAAUUCCAAGUGUAGCGGUGAAACGCGUAGAGAUUUGGAGGAACACCAGUGGCGAAGGCGGCUUUCUGGUCUGUAACUGACGCUGAGGCGCGAAAGCGUGGGGAGCAAACAGGAUUAGAUACCCUGGUAGUCCACGCCGUAAACGAUGAGUGCUAAGUGUUAGGGGGUUUCCCGCCCCCCUUAGUGCUGCAGCUAACGCAUUAAGCACUCCGCCUGGGGGAGUACGGCCGCAAGGCUG